AUUGAACGCUGGCGGCAUGCCUUACACAUGCAAGUCGAACGGCAGCACGGGUGCUUGCACCUGGUGGCGAGUGGCGAACGGGUGAGUAAUACAUCGGAACAUGUCCUGUAGUGGGGGAUAGCCCGGCGAAAGCCGGAUUAAUACCGCAUACGAUCUACGGAUGAAAGCGGGGGACCUUCGGGCCUCGCGCUAUAGGGUUGGCCGAUGGCUGAUUAGCUAGUUGGCGGGGUAAAGGCCUACCAAGGCGACGAUCAGUAGCUGGUCUGAGAGGACGACCAGCCACACUGGGACUGAGACACGGCCCAGACUCCUACGGGAGGCAGCAGUGGGGAAUUUUGGACAAUGGGCGAAAGCCUGAUCCAGCAAUGCCGCGUGUGUGAAGAAGGCCUUCGGGUUGCAAAGCACUUUUGUCCGGAAAGAAAUCCUUGGCCCUAAUACGGUCGGGGGAUGACGGUACCGGAAGAAUAAGCACCGGCUAACUACGUG
rnacentral:rRNA from 1 species